rnacentral:tRNA from 1 species
UGUAGCUCAGUGGUACAGUGCUUGUCUCGUAUGUAUGAGGCCCUGGGUUCAAUCCCUAGCA